GAAAACCAUAACUUACACUAAAACUGCAACACUACACCGAAGAUUAGCAUGGCCCCUGCUCAAGGAUGACACACAAAUUUGUGAAGCAUUCCAUAUUUUU
rfam:Otolemur garnettii contig072637, whole genome shotgun sequence.